rfam:Heterocephalus glaber contig214735, whole genome shotgun sequence.
GGAUAUGUAGCUCAGUGGUAGAGCACUAGCCUAGUAUACAUGAGGUCCUGGGUUCAAGCCCCAGUAUGACAA